GACGAACGCUGGCGGCGUGCUUAACACAUGCAAGUCGAACGGAAAGGCCCUGCUUUUGUGGGGUGCUCGAGUGGCGAACGGGUGAGUAACACGUGAGUAACCUGCCCUUGACUUUGGGAUAACUUCAGGAAACUGGGGCUAAUACCGGAUAGGAGCUCCUGCUGCAUGGUGGGGGUUGGAAAGUUUCGGCGGUUGGGGAUGGACUCGCGGCUUAUCAGCUUGUUGGUGGGGUAGUGGCUUACCAAGGCUUUGACGGGUAGCCGGCCUGGGAGGGUGACCGGCCACAUUGGGACUGAGAUACGGCCCAGACGCCUACGGGAGGCAGCAGUGGGGAAUAUUGCACAAUGGGCGGAAGCCUGAUGCGGCAACGCCGCGUGCGGGAUGACGGCCUUCGGGUUGUGAACCGCUUUCGCCUGUGACGAAGCGUGAGUGACGGUAAUGGGUAAAGAAGCACCGGCUAACUACGUG
rnacentral:rRNA from 1 species